rnacentral:rRNA from 1 species
AAUGAAUUUUAUUAUUAAAAUUAUAUUUUUUAUAAUUUUUAAAUAAAUUUUUUUGUUUUUAUUAUUAUUUUGAAAAAUUUUUAUUUAUAAUAGGAUACUAGUACUGUGAAGGAAUUUUUUUUAUUAAAAAAAGAAAAAUUUAUUUUUUGUACCUUGUGUAUCAGGGUUUAUUAAAAUAUAAUUCUAAUUGAAUAAUUCUCGAAUUUAAAGGAGCUAAAUUAGUAUAAAUAUUGUUGUUUCAUAAACAUUUAAAAUAUUAAUUUUGAAGUUAUAUGCUAUUCAUCUUUAAUUAUAUCUAGUUUUUAAAGAAACAAAUUUAAUUUGAUUUAUUUUAAUAUUAAAAAUUCUUUUUUUUUAUUAUUAAAAUGAUUUAAUAAUUUUUGGGAUAAUCUAAAAAUUAUAUUUUUAUUAAAUUUAAAAAUUUCUGGACAAUUAGGAUUAAAAUUUUCCAUAUUUAUAAUUGUAUUAUAAUUUUUCUAGGUCAUUUAAUAUUUAUUUUUUUUUAUAAAUUUUUUAUUUAAAUUUUGAUUAAAAUUGAUUUUUUCAACUAAUUAUGAUAAAAUUAGUAAAUUUAUUUAUAUGUUUAAAUUACACUUUAAAAUGAUAAUGAAGAAUUCGGCAAUUAGUUUUUUACCUGUUUAAUAAAAACAUGUCUUCUUGAUUAUAAUCUGAAGUCUGACCUGCUCUAUGAAAUUUAAAUGGCCGCAGUAUUUUGACUGUGCUAAGGUAGCAUAAUAAUUAGUUUCUUAAUUAGAAGCUUGUAUGAAUGGUUUGAUAAGAAAACUUCUUUUUUAUUUUUAAUUUAUUUGAAUUUUAUCUUUAAGUUAAAAAGCUUAAAUGUUUUUAUAGGACGAGAAGACCCUUUAGAAUUUUAUAUAAGAUUAUAUUAAUUUAAUUUGGAAUUAAUAUUUUGAUAAGAUUUUUUAUUUAGUUGGGGUGACUAAAAAAUUGAAUUAACUUUUUUUAUUAUUUUUACAUUAUAUUUGAUUAUAUGAUCCGUUAAACGAUUAUAAGAGAAAAUUACCUAAGGGAUAACAGCGUUAUAAUUUUUAGAGUUCUUAUCGAAAAAAUUGAUUGCGACCUCGAUGUUGGAUUAGAAUUUCAAUUAGGUGCAAAAGCUUAAUGAGAAGGUCUGUUCGACCUUUAAAUUUCUACAUGAUCUGAGUUUAAACCGGCGUGAGCCAGGUUGGUUUCUAUCCAUAAAUAUUUAUUAUAUUUUAGUACGAAAGGAUUUAGUAUAU